rnacentral:tRNA from 1 species
GUCUCUAUGGCUCAGUCGGUAGAGCGUUGGUCUCAUAUAAUAUCUAUAUGACCCUGCCUGUAGGUCGGGACAUCCAAAGGUCGCAAGUUCGAGCCUUGCUAGGGACA